rnacentral:rRNA from 1 species
GAUGAACGCUGGCGGCGUGCCUAAUACAUGCAAGUCGAGCGAACGGACGAGAAGCUUGCUUCUCUGAUGUUAGCGGCGGACGGGUGAGUAACACGUGGAUAACCUACCUAUAAGACUGGGAUAACUUCGGGAAACCGGAGCUAAUACCGGAUAAUAUUUUGAACCGCAUGGUUCAAAAGUGAAAGACGGUCUUGCUGUCACUUAUAGAUGGAUCCGCGCUGCAUUAGCUAGUUGGUAAGGUAACGGCUUACCAAGGCAACGAUGCAUAGCCGACCUGAGAGGGUGAUUAGCCACACUGGAACUGAGACACGGUCCAGACUCCUACGGGAGGCAGCAGUAGGGAAUCUUCCGCAAUGGGCGAAAGCCUGACGGAGCAACGCCGCGUGAGUGAUGAAGGUCUUCGGAUCGUAAAACUCUGUUAUUAGGGAAGAACAUAUGUGUAAGUAACUGUGCACAUCUUGACGGUACCUAAUCAGAAAGCCACGGCUAACUACGUG